GGCUUGUAAAUUUUUCUCAAAAGUGAUUUCUACCUAUAUAUUUAAUUAGGUUUCACAUUGUUUCACAGGUCACAUUGUACCUAUUGGCUUCAAAUCAAUUUACAGGAUAAAAUGCACCCACUGAUUCCAAGCUUGGAAGGAGGUGGCCUCAUUAUAAACUGUGUCAGGUUAGGUCUCCCAGAACUGUUGGAGUUUGGUGUAGGACUCCUCAUGGGAGAUUUGGGACUUCAAGCUGUGGCAAAAGCCCAUUUUAAGCAAGUAUAAAAUUGUAAUCUCCUGGUAUGAGAAUCCUUUUAUGGAUGUGUGCCUUUGCAUUACUUUUAAACUACAUAUCUAAUAAUCAUUCUUAAGAAACUUCUGGUUUCACAUAUAUUGAUGAAAAUUAUUAAUUAUAGAUUAUUUUCCUCUGCAUUGUAUUUCUCUUUUCUGAUAGAGUUCUAUGGUUAGUUAAUUAUGAAUUAGAACAUCCGUAGAACUUGGAGAUCUGUUUUGGGGCAUUCAGUCAAUACAAUUCACACUUUGUAAACAGGUUUGGCUGACACCACAGUUGCUUUGUCCCCACACCUCCUGGACAAUGCACAGAAAUGGAUGGUCUUCAAUGUGUAGGUCAAAUGCAGGCUCAAAUGCAGUUUUUCCCAGCUCAGAGUUUUGAUGUGCUCUGCUAUUUUAGUUAGUUUUAAAUAUUUUCUAAUUUUCAUUUUGAUUCCUUCUUUGAUCUAAACAUUGUUUUGAACCGUAUUGCUUAAUUUCCAACAUUUGGAGGCUUCUACUUACCAUUUCAUUAUUGAUUUCUAGCUUAAUUACAUAGUGUGAGAGAACAUAUUCUGAGUGAUUCAAUCCUUUGAUAUUUGUUGAAACUAUGUUGUGUCCCAGGACAACACUAAUUUUGGCAAAUGGUUAAUUGUACUAAGUAGACUAUAUAUUUUCUUGUAGUGGGUGCAAUGUUUUCUCUCUCUCUUUCUUGCAAAUUAUGUAUAUUGAUUAGGUUUCAUUUGGAAUUCAAGUUGUUCAGAUCAUUUAGAAUUUACUGGUGUUUUGUCUGCUUGUUCUA
rnacentral:lncRNA from 1 species